rnacentral:rRNA from 1 species
UACGGAGGAUCCGAGCGUUAUCCGGAUUUAUUGGGUUUAAAGGGUGCGUAGGCGGUUCAAUAAGUCAGUGGUGAAAGUUUUCGGCUUAACCGGAAAAUUGCCGUUGAUACUGUUGGGCUUGAAUUUGGUUGCUGUGAGUGGAAUGUGUGGUGUAGCGGUGAAAUGCUUAGAUAUCACACAGAAUAUCGAUUGCGAAGGCAUCUCACAAAGCCAAUAUUGACGCUGAUGCACGAAAGUGUGGGGAUCAAACAGGAUUAGAUACCCUGGUAGUCCACACUGUAAACGAUGAUAACUCGCUGUCGGCGAUAGAUAGUCGGUGGCCAAGCGAAAGCGAUAAGUUAUCCACCUGGGGAGUACGACCGCAAGGUUGAA